UGGCGGACGGGUGAGUAACGCGUGAGUAACCUGCCCUUAGGAAAGGGAUAGCGUCUGGAAACGGACGGUAAUACCAUAUAAAGUAUAUUAACGGCAUCGUAGAUAUACCAAAGCUGAGGCGCCUAAGGAUGGACUCGCGUCUGAUUAGAUAGUUGGUGGGGUAACGGCCUACCAAGUCGACGAUCAGUAGCCGGACUGAGAGGUUGAACGGCCACAUUGGGACUGAGACACGGCCCAGACUCCUACGGGAGGCAGCAG
rnacentral:rRNA from 1 species